AAAUAAAAAGUUAACUUCCCUUUUUGGUUGUAUUCGUGCUGUCAUGAAUGUUGUCGUCGCUCGGUUCCGUGGUGUUCAUCGCGAUCGAGUCGAUUCGCGUACGAAUGUAGAUUUUAGAUUAAUUUAUUUUUUUCAACGCUCUCGUUCCACUUUUUAAUAUUUCUUUGUUUUUUUAUACUGUGCUAAUAAGUGCUGUGAUACGCUAAUUGCUUUGCAGUGAAACAAAGGGCACCCUUUUCGUGUUCAAACGAAAGCAAUCGCUUUAUGAAUAUGAUGUCACUGUUAUUAGAUCCUUGAAGUUGAAGAUGAGUGUAAGUGUUGAAGACGUUUCUAGUCCUUUAUCCGAAGGACAGAGUAGUGUUUUAGAAGUGGGUGAUAAAGUAGAAUGUGAAGUGAAACCUGCUGAUAAUGUUGAGGAAGGUCAGUCAGAGUCUUCCGCCCCAAAACCGCAUCCGAUGGCGUUUACGGUCGACUUUGGCGAGGCGAAGAAAUUCGACAACCGUAGGCUUGAAGAGCUAGCGAAAAAGUCUCAAGCACGUCACCAAAGAGUGCAGUCUAUGUCUGCUAGCGUGCCCAAGUCUAGCCCUAUCUCGCAACGACUGUCGAUGAGUGCUAAGCUACCGCGAAAGGCUCAAGGCUACAACUCGGAGGGAUAUUUCUCCUCCGACCAAGAAGACGGUGGUUUAUCGUCGUCCGUUAAACUCAGAAGUAGUCCACUAGCACAAAACACUGACAAAACCAUCAGCUCAGUUAACCGCCAAGUGAAAUCACCCAUAGAUAUAUUCCAGCCGAAAUGUACGUCCAAAAGUCCCAUUGUAGAUAGUAUUAUGUCGAGAAGUGAGAAUUAUUCCACACGUCAAGCUCUUAACUUGCCGUUAAAAGCGAACAGUUCCUAUUUACGAGACGUCCAUAAAAGUCCCAGUUAUGGUAACCUUGCUAACUAUCAAAGACACCCAAUGGCAGAUAUAGUUGAUCACAGUCCUGAAGGUGUCAUGCUAACAGACAUAUCCAGCCCUGAAUUAGAUAUAUUAACACCUGACAACGGAUUAUCAACACCGGAACCAUCAAAAAGUCCCAUAUCUCGUAAAUUAAGAGCGACAUCAGAAACGCCUGAUUUGUUCAAGAAAUGUCCGCCUAAACCCCAGUUGUACAUAGAUGAUGAGGACGAUAGGCAAUCAAAUAACUCCUCUACAGGCACAUAUACAAUAGAAGGUGAUAAUUACACUGAGGAGCAAAAAGCUAGAAUGAGUAUAGAUAGAACAUUUGGGACACAUUAUCUCAAUGAAGCAAUAGAGGAAACAUUGAAGCGUAGAAGCGUAGAAAGCAAUCCCGAGCUUAUAUUCGACUACACAAACCCCGCUGUUAUUACAAAAGAGCCCAGACGAGAUCUGUGCUUGCGAAGCGCUUUGCCAAUCACAAAAAACAUAGAUCUACCUAACAAAAUGACGAAAGACAAAAACGUUUUAGAAAUAUCGUGCUGUUACGAAUCACCGACUGAGAGCGAUCUAGCCGCACAAACGUCGAAACAAAUCAAAUCGACGCGUAGUUAUUUAGAGAAAAUAAAGAACAGGGUACGUAAUAUUACGGAAAAGACGUUUCCGAAAUCACCGCCAAAGCACGGAGAGGAAGGUGAUGUCGGUAUGUUCACUUCUGUGACGACGUCGGGUAUUUUGAGUUCGAAAUAUCCGAUAAAAGUUGAAAUACCCAGGCGGAGGAGGUGUAGCUUAACAAAAUCGGAAAUAGACCAGACUGACUACAUCCAUCGAUUAUCUAGAGAAUCAUCUGUCCCUGUAUCAUUACCUAGCAGUAAGAAUAUUCUGGAGGAAGCGAAAUUCGAGAGUACAGCUUUAAAGAACGCGCAAAAGGCGCUACAGGCUGAGAAACCUGACCUAUCCCCAGAGCAGGUUGUUAAUCAGCUGUCAUAUUUAAGUCUGAAUAGAUGUAAGGGCGACAAAACUUGGAUACAAGACUGGGCGGACAGUGUUAAGAAGUACAAUAAUAAUACAAUCGCUAACGAGUCCGGAGAUCUUAAUAGUACAUUUUCGCUGGAAGAUCGUCCACCGAUAAGCCCAAGACUUCAUCCUACUAAAUCCCGCAGCCCGCACGGCGGCACACCCACAAAGAUACCGAGCCCCGUCGGGACCCUGUUACACCGGAGGACACCGGAUCUCAUUCCACCACAAGACACGGAGUCGUAUCUUCUAAAAACGCAGAACGCGAUCACAAAUCUACAAGCAAAACUACAUUCAGCUAGAAAUAGCAAUGCGUCUACCAUACCUUCACAACUUACCACCAGUCUCAUCAGUGAAAAGACGAUCGUAUCCCGUCUGCCGCUCUCCCAGCUUAGCAGAUCUAAUUCCCUCAACUACCGCUUACGAAGGAAAGACAACGGCAGCGACAGCAGCCCCCUACGCAGCCCGGGACACUAUGUCAUCACCGGGUCAUCGAAAGUUCCAGAAAAUUCUAGAAUCCUCCUCAAUUCAGCGUCCCGAUCUCUCGACGCGGAAGCGCGAAGAGAUUCCAACAUGAACAGCCCCAGUUCAGACAGAGGCCUACUGAGCAAUAGUUCAGAUGACAAAACACUAUCAAAUCGUCCACCAUACGAUGUGGACACUAUUCUAUCACCGCACAGGAAAACGCACACACGGCACAGAUCUUUCGGCGGCAGAAACACAGAAUUUGCCAACGAUAACAAUAACGCGACUCAAGUGUGUCUCAAGACGGUAUUGAAAAACAACGCCUUAGAUACCAAGGAGUAUAGGAUCGAUCAAACUCGUAGUCAAGGCGAGAAGAAGCACCAGAGAGUUUUGAGCGAUAGUAAAGCUAAACCGGCGUAUAAUAACGCCGCUUUUGGCUUAUCAAUCAGACGGUCCAGCUCUUUUAAUACGGUCAACAAAAACAAUAAUAUCAUCGAUCCAAGAUUGGUGUCAAGAAGAUCAAGUGGUCAGUCAGAGGAAUACAAAGAUUAUUCGGACGAAUCGGACAAUGGGUCGUUCGAUAAAUCGCAAGAUAUUAGGUACAAGCGGCAGAUUACCAGGGGCAGAAUCGAUUCGCCAGAUUUCAAAUCGAUAGCUCCCGCCAAUUCACCGCGAUGUCCGAAUACGCCGGAGAUGCAGAGGAAAUUCGGGCCGGGAUUGGUCAGGAAUUCGGUGCGAGUGACCAAUAAGGAGCGAGUGGUGAACACGCGCAUGUCUGAACCACCAAUGGGGAGAGAGGAGCGCGCUAAACCGACCAAUCAUCAGAGUAGAAGAGCGGCUGAUCCAACGCGGCAAGCUGUACUGACUAGGCUCUCGAAAUCUAGAUCGUCUACGCGGGAACCACAGAAACAAGAUAAAGGUCAAAAGAAACCAAACCAACACCGUUCGUCAUCAGCUCUUGCUUCAAAAGAGAUAGAGUUUUCAAAUUGGAAGAAACGAGCAUCCUACGACCCUAUGAAAGCCGCGCAGGCGGAGAGAGAGAGAAAGAGACAGCAGAUUGCGAAACGGCAGGAGUGUAACAAGGACGACCUUAGUUCGCCUAGCCAAUCAUCACCAGUCCACCGCUCCCAAUCGUUCCACACGACGAACAUAGCGGACCUGACCCUGGACUACUCCUCCGAGGGUACGGAGGAUGAUCAGCUCACACUGCCAAUAGAUCCCAUGGUCACAUCCACGCAUUCGGACAUCCUGGAUGUGAGGAGACGGGUGAACAAUGUGGUGCUGGGGAGGGAGUAUGUGGCUAAUUUUAAGGUGAACCAACCAGACAAGAAACACACGCGCAAAAUAAAACCAGAUAGAGACAACCUGGACAAGCGGAGGACGUUCAUCCUGGACAGCGACUCCACGACCAACGGCAGCAGUCCCCGGAACAGCUCCAUCUUCAGCCAGGAGAAGUCUCUCACGGACACGGAGGGAGAGAGCGGGACGGAGAGUGCCCCGGUCGUGAUGAGGCAGAGCAGGACGCAAGUGCAAGCGAAACAGAGGUACAGUGGUGACUACUCAAUGUCGUCAUCAACAACGUCAGCGAGCAACAAAAAGCCAAAAGAGAUACAACCGAGAUAUCUUGACAUAUCCAAAUAUAAAUCGGAGAAUUCGCCGAAAAACUUCUUAAGACGGGACCCGAGCAAAACAUAUGUAGGCGUUCUUAAUAAUAACGAGAAAAACGUUAGCAAGGGUAGCGCUCAGCAUUAUGAAAUGGAACAAAAGAAACAAGAGUUAGAGAAGUGGAAACGAAGAGCGUCGUACGACCCGCGCAAGGCCGCGGCGCUCGGCAAGUCCAAAACACCGCCCAAGACUGCGAGAGCGUGACAGUUGCCAAUAUGCAUGCAAUUUUGGCUAAAGUGCCACGGCGGCCAUCUUGUGUAAUUGAGUAACGUACUACGGUCGCAGUCAUUCCACGGGCCGGUGCUGUCGCCGAGCGUGCGCUACCAACCUCCGCCCGGACUCAUCCACGAGUCUUACGACGCUUCGAGCGAUAACGACUUCUAGGCGAAAAAAUAAAUAAACGCCAAUGUGAUAGUGUUGUGUUAAAAUAUUUAUUUAGUGCGUGUAUCCGAACGUGUUUCGCUUUAUCUGUCCUACUUGUAGCUGUCAGUUUUGCCGCCGAUUUUACGCAAUAUGAAAUAGGGAUGCUGCAAUCUUUUUUUUUUUUAUUACAUCGCACAAAAUAUGCAAUAUGCGUGCACGUUUCUUUUUAUUGUAUAGUAUUUACACGGUUGAUGUAUCGAAUGAUUUAAAAUACGGAUAAAUUUAUGUUAAGAUUCGAUCUUAAAUAUACAUUUCUGGUAUAUGUAGGUAUUUAAUAUAUUGUAGUAGGGUCGGAUAAUAAUUAAUGCAGUAAUGAAUUUGUAGAUUAUAUUCGCUCAUAUCAUAUACAUCGAUUAAUUUCUUUACUUUACUUUACUGAUAGCUAGAUUAUUUUACUUAGUGCAAUAAUUAUACAUCACAUUAUUUUUAGUCCUAAACACCGAGUUUAUUAUCUAUUAAGUCACUAUUGCUUAGAAUAUCGCGAUUUUCUACUGCAAACUUUCUUAUACAGGGUGUCCUACCAUCGGUAUUCAAAGCUCAAUGGAGGUUAUAGUUUUGCAUACGCUGAGUACGUAAAAAAUACUUAUAAAAUUCCAGACCCAUUUUUUUCUGAAAUAGAUGAAUUCUUAAAACUCUUUGUGUACAUCCAUAACAAGCAACCCGCCCAA